GAAAGAAGUAGAGAAUAUUAAAAAGAAUUAGAAACGAAUUCAGAAUAAAUCUGGGAUGGUGUAACUCUAGUUGCAUAUCAGAAAACGCUCCCAGGGCCAUGGAAAGAUGCGGUAAUUGACAAAUCAAUUGGAAUAGGUGCAUUUUUAUGGUCUCUCUUGUUCAUCUCGACCUGUGUGGCUCCACGCGCAAAUGACGUUUGCAGGUAACCCCCCAGAUCAGGGAAAUGUAUGAGAAUUGAUUUAAUUCAUAAUAUCUAUUGCGUGACACUCGGUGACAUGCACAAAGUGCAGCGUACUCUAUUCUCCGACAGGAAUCUUAAAAAAUUCUCCAACAGGGCGUACAAGACACAAGGAGUGCCCCGAGCCCAACAGGUUACCUCCAUCUGGGAGGCCUCCGUACAGCUCUGUGCAACAUGGUGCACCUAUUUAUUGGUUAGGGAAAACCAAGGAAAUUAUAUUCUACGCAUAGAAGACACAGAUCAAACAUGACUCGUACCAGAUGCUGCCGGUAACCUUCAAGAUGAUUCAUUCUGGGCUGGGUCAACCCGCACAAAGAACUGACAAAGGGUGAACUUGUAUGCUCCCACGAGCUCCCACUUUCAAUCUCAAUUUCACCGUUUAUCCUGUGUAGCGAGCAGGUUCAAGAAGUUUCCUUCCAAAAUGCCUUGGCUGGAAACUGUUUUUGUUCAGACAAACAACAGGGGCUCUUAGCAUAAAAAUCAUUAAGGCAAACACUAAAGCAAGACAAGUGUGGACACCUGAGCAAAGAGGAUCUGAAGGAUAUAUUGGCGCAAGAUUUUAUUUCGUACACAAGGAUGCUCAAAUUAGAGAAGAAGACUGCGGCGAUGAGGUUGUACUGGAGGAACGAUUGCCGCCUCUCCUUCAAUUCGAAGAUUUGAUUUGCAAAAUCCUGAGUGGAGGAUGAUCAACCGAUUUCUAUGAGCUAUUCAUCCGGUAUCAUCCAUACCUGGUGGAAAAAGUCUGGUUAGAGCAUUGCUUUAUCGAAUUUAGGACUGAGUGAUGUCUUGAUCGUUCGGCAAAGGAGUAGGAUGAAUGCAUGCACAUGAUGAGGCACCGGGUCUAGGAAUACCUCCUCGGGUUUCCUGUUCUCCUAAUAGAAAAUCAAAUCUUUGGCCUGAAUUCCAAACUUCAGGGCCGCUUUUCUGGAUUAUUAUUUCUGUUCAGAGAAAAAGGUCCUGUCAUCCAUAUCCUGCAUCGAGAGGGAUGAAUAUAUAUAAUUCAGGAUGUCCUCGGGUCGUUUUCUGCC
rnacentral:lncRNA from 1 species